rnacentral:sRNA from 1 species
AUGAAAAUCUGAUCUUUUGUAAUAUAUGUGGACUUUCCAAGACUUCUAAGAUCACAAAUGAAUUUAUUUGAUCAGAAUUUAGAGAAAGAAUAUGAUAUGUCUGCCAUUCAGUGUUCAUUAUGCUCAGGUAUAAUACAUCAAAUCUUCAGCACUAAAAUAGAGUGGGAAGUCAUCAGUAAAACCUGAGUCAGUGUCCAUCACCUGUACAACUUGCUAUGGAAGAAGCUUGAGCCACUCACUGCUCCAUUGCUAUCCAUUGGCAUGCUAAAUCAAAUGUUUGCCUGGAAACAUUCAUCAAAGCUGCUGCAAUGCAAUCGUCUAUAUAAACAGUUUAUUUCACUGGCAAGAAGAUAGCUAACAUUCGUUUUCUCCAGAUGCUUCAGAGUUUCCUGUGACUUCAAACUGUUUCUUGCUACCCAUUUGCUUCAGUUGUCUUCAUAGAACACUGGACUUAAAGGAAGGGAAUGUGUAUCACACGUAACCAUAAGGAAGAAGGGUCAUGAUUAAACCUGUUUCUGAUC